AGUGAACGCUGGCGGUAGGCCUAACACAUGCAAGUCGAACGGCAGCACAGUAGGAGCUUGCUCUUACGGGUGGCGAGUGGCGGACGGGUGAGGAAUACAUCGGAAUCUACUUUUUCGUGGGGGAUAACGUAGGGAAACUUACGCUAAUACCGCAUACGACCUACGGGUGAAAGCAGGGGUUCUUCGGACCUUGCGCGAUUGAAUGAGCCGAUGUCGGAUUAGCUAGUUGGCGGGGUAAAGGCCCACCAAGGCGACGAUCCGUAGCUGGUCUGAGAGGAUGAUCAGCCACACUGGAACUGAGACACGGUCCAGACUCCUACGGGAGGCAGCAGUGGGGAAUAUUGGACAAUGGGCGCAAGCCUGAUCCAGCCAUACCGCGUGGGUGAAGAAGGCCUUCGGGUUGUAAAGCCCUUUUGUUGGGAAAGAAAAGCAGCAGGUUAAUACCCCGCUGUUCUGACGGUACCCAAAGAAUAAGCACCGGCUAACUUCGUG
rnacentral:rRNA from 1 species